rnacentral:pre_miRNA from 1 species
UUUUGGUGACUGCUUGCAUUUUUAGUCUCUUAAUAAUUAUAAUUAUAACUAUGUAAUUAUUAAGAGACUAAAAAUGCAAGCAGUCACCAAAAAAA